rnacentral:rRNA from 1 species
UCAAUGAGGGCACAGCUUCAUUGACACAGGAAACAACCUUCAAUAGUGACAAACUUGUAUUUUUUUCCCCAGUAGGCCUUUAAGCAGCCAACAAAAACAAAAUGCGUUACAGCAACAAAUACACCUAAUCCCAAAAUACACAUAAACCUCCUACUAAGCAUCGGACAAAUCUAUUCACAUAGAAACACUCAUGUUAAAACUAGUAAUAAGAAUAAUUCUCUUCGCACAAGCCAACAAUAACAGACAGCACCAUCUGAACCCAACUACAACACAAGAAAACCCAACCCACCAAUACUGUUAACCCAACCCAGGAGUGCACAAAGAAGAUUAAAAGUUACAAAAGGAACUCGGCAACCUAGGUCCCAACUGUUUACCAAAAACAUAGCCUUUAGCUCAACAAGUAUUAAAGGUGAUGCCUGCCCAGUGAUAUUUUCAACGGCCGCGGGAUCCUACACCGUGCAAAGGUAGCAUAAUCACUUGUCAUCUAAAUAAUGACUAGUAUGAAUGGCCCAAUGAGGACCUUACUGUCUCUUGUAACCAAUCUAUGAAACUGAUCUUCCAGUUCAAAAGCUGGAAUAAACACACAAGACGAAAAGACCCUGUGGAACUUUUAAGUGCCAGUCAAUAAAAUGAUAUAAUCACUUUUAGUUGGGGCAACUUUGGAACAAAACAAAACUUCCAAUCACGGGAAACAAUUUAAAGCUAGGUUUACACACCAACCUUUAUUACCCGAUAUCGACCCAGUACUACUGAUAAAAGAACCAAGCUACCCCAGGGAUAACAGCGCCAUCCCCUCUUAGAGUCCCA